rnacentral:rRNA from 1 species
GAACGCUGGCGGCGUGCCUAACACAUGCAAGUCGUGCGAGAAAGUUCCUUCGGGAGCGAGUAAAGCGGCGCACGGGUGAGUAACACGUAGGUAACCUGCCCCCCCAGUCUGGAACAACUAGAGGAAACUCUAGCUAAUGCCGGAUGAGACCACGAUCCCGUUCGGGGGUUGCGGCCAAAGAUGGCCUCUACUUGUAAGCUAUCGCUGAGGGAUGGGCCUGCGGGCCAUUAGCUUGUUGGUGAGGUAACGGCUCACCAAGGCUGUGAUGGCUAGCUGGUCUGAGAGGAUGACCAGCCACACUGGGACUGAGACACGGCCCAGACCCCUACGGGAGGCAGCAGUGGGGAAUAUUGCGCAAUGGGCGAAAGCCUGACGCAGCGACGCCGCGUGGGUGAUGAAGGCCUUCGGGUCGUAAAGCCCUGUCGCAGGGGAAGAAUAAGCAUCGGUAUAAUACGCCGGUGCCCUGACGGUACCCUGCAAGAAAGCACCGGCUAACUACGUG